UUUAAAUUGACCUCGUAUCAGGUAAGAGUACCCGCUGAACUUAAGCAUAUCAAUAAGCGGAGGAAAAGAAACCAACAGGGAUUGCCUUAGUAGUGGCGAAUGAACCGGCAAAAGUCCAAAUUUGAAAUCUGCCAGCAAUGGCCGAGUUGUAAUUUGAAGAUGGUAAUUCUGUGGAGAGUCUUUGCUCAAGUUUCCUGGAAUGGAACGCCGAGGAGGGUGACAGCCCCGUGAGGCAUAGACUUAAAGCGUGUAGAGUACUAUCAAAGAGUCGGGUUGUUUGGGAAUGCAGCUCUAAUCUCGUGGUAAGUGGCACGAAAGACUAAAUAUUGGUGAGAGACCGAUAGCGAACAAGUACUGUGAAGGAAAGAUGAAAAGCACUUUGAAAAGAGAGUGAAAUAGUACGUGAAAUUGUUAAUAUGGAAGGAUAUAAAACUAGACACGGAGUUUUGAGUUCGGCAGUCCCUCGGGAUUGUUUUGUCUCUUUAUUCCACACCAGCAUCAGUUUUGGCAGGAGGAUAAACAGUGCGGAAUGUAGCUACUUUGUAGUGUUAUAGCCGUACUGCAUACUCUUAGCCGGGACUGAGGUCAGCCUUUGUAGGAUGCUGGGGUAAUGGUUUUAUAUCAC
rnacentral:rRNA from 1 species